rnacentral:rRNA from 1 species
GAUGAACGCUGGCGGCGUGCUUAACACAUGCAAGUCGAACGGUGAACGAGGGCGCUUGCUCCCUCCGGAUCAGCGGCGAACGGGUGAGUAACACGUGAGCAAUCUGCCCUGGACUCUGGGCUAAGCGUUGGAAACGACGUCUAAUACCGGAUACGAGGCGUGGGGGCAUCCCCAACGCCUGGAAAGAACUUCGGUACAGGAUGAGUGCGCGGCCUAUCAGCUGGUUGGUGAGGUAACGGCUAACCAAGGCGACGCCGGGUAUCCGGCCUGAGAGGGGGACAGCCCAGCCUGGGACUGGUAAUGCGCCCAUACUCGUACGGGAGGCACCGGUGGGGGAUAUUGCACAAUGGGCGCAAGCCUGAUGCAGCAACGCCGCGCGAGGGACGACGGCCUUCGGGUUGUAAACCUCUUUUAGCAGGGAAGAAGCGAAAGUGACGGUACCUGCAGAAAAAGCACCGGCUAACUACGUGCCAGCCGCCGCGGUAAUAC